rnacentral:rRNA from 1 species
UGGGGAAUCUUGCGCAAUGGCCUAACGGCUGACGCAGCGACGCCGCGUGAGGGAUGACGCUCUUCGGAGUGUAAACCUCUUUUGCCUGGAACGAAUUGUCAGCUUCAGCUGACUUGACGGUACCGGGUGAAUAAGCACCGGCUAACUCCGUGCCAGCAGCCGCGGUAAUACGGGGGGUGCGAGCGUUGUCCGGAAUCACUGGGCGUAAAGGGCGCGUAGGUGGCGUGAUAAGGGUGUGGUGAAAGCCCGGGGCUCAACCCCGGGUCGGCCAUGCCGACUGUCAGGCUCGAGUACUGUAGGGGCAGGCGGAAUUCCGGGUGUAGCGGUGGAAUGCGUAGAGAUCCGGAGGAAGACCGGUGGCGAAGGCGGCCUGCUGGGCAGUUACUGACACUGAGGCGCGACAGCGUGGGGAGCAAACAGG